UCCAAGUCCGCCUGGAAGAAAGAGGAGAGAGAGAGACAAGGGGGAGAGGCAGGAAAAGGUGGACGUGACACUGAUUUUUUUUUUUAAAUCCUUCCUUGUCUUGGUUUAAAGACCUCGCCACAGAUCCCGACAAGGAGGAGCUGCUUUGGAAACAGAAAAGAAGGGGGACCAUUCCUUGCUUCUUCCCUGGAGAAGAUUGGCUUCGAGGGAGGAAGAAAAGGAAGGAGGAAAAUGAGAAAGGCGAAGCAACAUCAGCAUCCUCCUCCUGAUUCCUGGCUGGAUUUGUAAAGACUGAAGGGCAGAAGAGUAUUAAGAGAUGCCUCCGGAGGGAUUUUGGGAUGUAAAGGUGGGCAAAAGGGAAGGGAAAGGGCUCUUCUUCCCAGGGCUCUAGCCAAGGGGGGGUUUAGGGGUUCAACCCCCCUCCCCGAAAUUUUUUAGGUUUACUAAUGAAUUUUAACUGGUUAACCAAAUCCCCAUCAGUGUCCACUGAAGUUUAUCUUUCUUGAGUGUCCACUGAAGUUUUUUCUGUCUUGAGUGUCCACUGAAGUUAAUCCAUGGAGCCUGAUUUCUAAAUUAUUUUGCAUUAUGGAACUAUUCUUCACGAUUCACUAAAAAAAAAAAAAGUUCCAACCCCCCUCCCCUUCCCGACUUUUUUCCCCUGGCGAUGGCCCUGCUUCUUCCCAGCUGCUAGGGAAUAAACAAACUAACAAGGAUGUUCCUGACCUGUUGGUGAUGGAUUACAAAGGAGACUUCCAAGCCGGCUUGCAAGAGAUCGACGGCAUCCCUCUGGGCUACUUACAGGUGGGAGGCACGCGGAUGUUCGCCUUGCCGCAGGUCUUGAGCCUCCUCUUCCAAGGCGUGCCCAGGGCCGCGCUCCGCAAAGCCAUGUCGGGCCUCCAGAUCCGGAGCCGCCGCUGCGACUUGCAGGAGCUGCGCACCCUCAAGGCCAUCCAGUCGGUCCCCAGCCGCGCCGUCAAGUGCUCGCUGAUCUCCAAAGCCGACCUGGAGGCCCUCCGGGCUGUGGCUCCGCGGAGGAAGAGGAAAAGGAAGGGCAAACGACGGGAGGCCCAUAACGGAGCGCUCUUCCCGGACAGCGCUUUCCAAAAGACUCCCUAUUCGAAAGGCGCUCCUCCGGCGGGGAAAAAUCAGGACAUCCUUAGCAACGUCUUGGGCGCUUACCCGAGAGACUUGCAGCUGCUCAGAGGGCAAGUUUUGUCCAAAAUCCCCGACGCGGCUCGCUCUAAACGCCCUUCUUGCGGCUGCUUGGCCAAAAAGCCUCGCUUGUCCGGCUCCAGCGACUCCGAUUCCUCCAGUUUGGCGACGACGAGCGAUUCCUCCGACGAGGAAGACGAAGAGGAGGAGGAAGAGGAAGAAGACUCAACGUGUAGUAGCAGCAGCAGCAGCGAAGAGGAGAGUGAAUUGCUCUCUGAACCUUCAUCGUCGGGAUCGGAGAGCAGCUCGCUUUGCAGCGGGGAUUCCAUCCAAAGCACUCGCUACAGGCAAGCCGCCUUGACGCCUCGUCUCCCUGGCCCUCCACAAGCGCCCUCCGUCUCCUCGGGGUCCUCGCUCCUCCCCAAACCCUUACGACCCGAGCCUAGUCUCCUCUUUUGGGCCAGGACGCUCCGCGCUUCCUCUUUGGCAACUUGCAAAGAGACGGAGUUGCGCCUCAAGCCGGACCCGAAGCUCUCUUCUCCUCCGCCGAGUUCCCAAGCGGAGCCUCCGAAGGACCCCGCUGAGCCAAACCCCAAGGCCGCCGAGGCUCCCCCCGGAGGAGGUCGAGAGACACAAUUCGACCGUUUAAUCCGAAAGUCCAAACUCUGGUGCUACGCUAAAGGCUUCAACGUGGACGCCAAGGCUCUGCGGCGCAGCGAGCAAGGCAAAGCGCAAGAGAAGGCGCCCAAAGCCAAGCCGGGCAAAGGGAGGCCGCGGAAAAGAGAGGCGGCGAAGAAAACCGCCCCGCGCCCCAACCCUCCCAGGCCGGCGUUCACCUUAAUGGGCACCUUCCCCUGCACGCCCGCUUUAAUCGUCGGCUCCGACGGGGAUUUGUGCCCGGCUUCCUCGCUCUGCGUCAAGGACUCCGUGGCUCCAGGCAAGACGCACCCGCUCUGGGCCUGGCAGAUGGGAGGCCACGCCAUGCCCGUGCCGCCCAGCCUGAAAUUCCGGGCCUACGCUUUGGAGGACGUCGGCUAGGUUGAGCAACAGGUUGGGCUUUGUUUUGAAGGGUGGGAAGAGCUGAGUAUGGAAGAGGGAAGGACGCCUGGCCGUUCAGAUAGGUUUGCCUCGAAGUGAGCUACUUGGUUCCAGUGGCCUUGACUCCCAAGUGUUUGCAUGUGAGAGAAGAACGACGAUAAAUUACUUCAUUAUUUAGUAAUGGCAGCCAGAAUAAUAUACGCCCAAAAAUGGAAAUCAAUAGAAUUAUCAACAAUGGACCAAUGGAUAUUAAAAGUGACAGAAAUUAUGAAAAUUGAUAUACUAACGCAGGCAAGUACCCAGGAUACACAGAAAAAAUGCAACAGAUUGGUUUGCAUUGAUAUACUUUAUGAAAGAAGAAAAAAUGAACUUGAUAGAAGAGAUCACUUAUUGCAACUUUGUUCCUCAGGGAAGAGACGUGAAGAGGGAAUAGUGGUAAAACAAUAAUUGGAAAAGAUGAUAAUAUAAACAUCCAUGGAGAAGACUGGAAGUCAGUUCAAUUUUUUCUUUUUCCUUCGCUCUUUUUUAAAAAUUUCCUUUUUUCUCACAUUUUUUCCAGAUUUACUGUUCCACUUUUUGAGUAAACCCAAUCUUUUCUCCCCUUACCUGAUUUUAAUCAUGUCAAAAAUACUUUAUUUUUUAUUUUUUAAAUCCCCCAAAUUAAAAGGCACAUACAAAGAUGUAAACAUAAAAAAGCAAAAGCACCAAUGAACCUGAUCAGAAAUCACUUUUGAGAAAACUCCAUGUAUAUGCGCCUUCAAAUUACCUGUCAGCUUCUCCAUAAAUUUCAUAGGCUUUUCUUGGGCAAGGAAUACUAACCAGAGUUGACGCUAUUUCAAAUGGGAUCUAGUAACUUUUGGGUAUUUAGGACAGCUCUAAGAAACCCCUACUGUUACUAAAUAUAACUUGAAACAAGAAUUAGUGCCACUAAUACAGAAGGGCUGAGAAGUAGCUAUAUUAGAUUAAUAAUAGGUCAUGCCAAUUAAUUAGGUCAUGCCAAUGCAUGUUUUUCUAAAGCAGACUCUCUAGAAAGAGUUCAAUAGGGCUUACUCACAAGGAAGUAUACAUAGAUGUGUGAGCCACAUCCUAUACAUACCUAAAUCAACUAAAAAGAAAACACUAAAGAACUCUGCAACCUGAUAAUCAUACCAAAAGAGUCCCAACUCCUAAAAUCACUUCUACUGCUUUUUUUUCUGUGUCAGAAGCAACUUGAGAAACUACAAGUUGCUUCUGGUGUGAGAGGAUUGGUUGUCUGCAAGGACAUUGCCCAGGGGAUGCCCGGAUGUUUGAUGUUUUGUCAUUUUUGUGGGAGGCUUCUCUCAUGUCCCCACAUGGGGAGCUGGAGCUGACAGAGGGAGCUCACCUGCUCUCUCCGGAUUUGAACCGCUGGCCUGUCGGUCAGCAGUCCUUUUGGCAUAAAGGGCUCCACUUCUAUUGCUAAGUCCUUCAAAAGCAAGUCCCACUACUUUCAAAAAACAGAAUUCUAAGUAAGGGAUACUUCCACACUUGCCUUUGAUUUUUCAUGGAGACUUGGCAUGGGCUUUUUAUUUAGGAAGCUGUUCUUCACAAAUAUUUGUACUCUCUUAUAUUUUUAAAAAAAUAUUUAAUCAUGUUUGUUUGUUGAAAGAUUAAAAUUAGUCAUUUUAAAUGACUAAGGGCCUUCUCACGCCACUCUUUUAUGUCUUAAAAUUUGCUCCAACUACCAUGAGGAUAGCUGAUUUCUGAUGCUCUCUGUUGCCCCCUUGCUGCAUUUGUGCUUUUAAGAACUUUAACAGCAUCAUCUGAUUCUGCAUGUUUAUUUUGUUUGCAUUGAUAACAUAAUUACCGACCUUUGUACCCUGCUUCUUAAGUAGAUUGGUUCAUCUAUUUUUUUUAAAGUAAGAAUAGUGCUAUGAUGCCAAAAUUGUAUGGCAGUAAGCCCGCUGCUGGUAACGGCCACCCACUUAACACGACUCGGUAUCUGUGUUUGGGUUUCGCUAUUUGCGGCCCGGAUCUCACUACCUGUGGCUGUUUUAAAUUGCUAUAUUUCAUUUGGAACGUGAAACCUCCAUUCAAGGCUCAUGCUGUACCAGUGAACUGCAGCCAUUCCCUGUACUCUGUAAUUUCCUUUUUAAAUGAGGGUGAGUAGAAAGAUUAUUGCAAAGAAAACAGUACACUUUGAUCUGCUCUAGGAAAGUAUUUUAUAUUAUCUACCAAGGGUAAAAUGCUCAGGAUCAAUUGGCACAUAUUAGUUAUGUUUUAACUAGCUACAUCUCCUAUGAAUUCUUCCUUGGCUUUGUAAAUUAAAAACAUACAAUUCAGUGGACUAUGGGGAGUUUGAGGGGGAAAAGAUAAUGCUAAACUAAAAUUGGCCUACUUUUAAGAAUGUUCAAGUAGUUUCAUGGCUGAGUGAGGAUUUGAGCCUGGGAAUCAGGGGCAAGGGAAGAAUAAUGAAGGGAGGAAAAGAGAAGUCUAGGGUGUUGUUUUAAACAUUGAGGCCAAAAAGCCAUUAAAAGGUCUCCUGCAUUUAUUAUGGAGACUGGCAAUGAUAUUGCAGAGAACAGAGUACUGUAGUCUGUUCAAAACUGUAGUCUUUAUAGUGUAUUCACUGAAUCAUGAUGAUUAAAUAUGUGUUUUCUAGCUAUGCUGUGCCAAUUUAGUAUCUGUCAUUAGAAAGAAACUCAGGGUUGUCAUUAAGUCCAAAUGAAACAAUUUUAUUUGCUAGUAUCUUCUAUGAUAGCAAUUACAUCUUUGGAUCCUCUCUUUAAAGUCUUAAAGAAAUAUAGUCAUCUUAAGAUCAGCAAUAGGACUUAAUUCAUAUUAAGCUAUAUGUUUAUUAGGACCAUCUAGUUUGUAAUUAGUUAAUUAAUUUUAUUUAGAUGUUUAAAUUAUUCAAUGCAUAAAGUUAUUUAAUAAUAAUAAUAAUAGCUUCCUUUGAUCUGUCAUCCUUUUAUCUCUUUUGCAUAACUCUUCAGAGUGUUGUUUCCAUAAUGUUUUAUUUUGUCCUGACCGCAUAAUGUGUUCACCAGUUGCUCCUUUAGUCUCCCAAAUCUUGGUUUGAAUUUUCCUUUGAUUUCUUGGAUCUUGUGUGAGAGAUCAGCACUUCCAGCCUAUUUGCUGUGUUCUUCUAUUUCUUUGCAUGUACUGUAUUACUGUAAUGGAUUUCUUUGUUCCCACAUAAAAGGUGCUAGACAAUCGAAACUGGUAUUUUGACCCUAUUUCUAUCACUUUUUAUUUUUACUUAUCACCUCUCUUUGAUUAAUAGUUUCACCAGUCAUCCAGUGGAGUUUUUUUUCUUUACAGCUACACAUGGAAAGUUGUUUGUUGUUGAUGUUGUUGUUGUUGUUGUUUGCAUUCUUCCCCCAUAGUGUCCCUGAUUUUGGUCCACAGUUAGUCUGGUUUGAAAUUAAUUACAUCUAGCAGUCAUGCCGGCCACAUGACCUUGGAAGCGUCUACGGACAACGUCGGCUCUGCGGCUUAGAAAUGGAGAUGAGCACCAACCCCCAGAGUCGGUCACGACUGGACUUAUCGUCAGGGGAAAACCUUUACCUUUAUCUAGCAAUGUAAAAUUUUUCCAAUCUGUAAAUUCUAUAGGAAUUCCCCUUUACAUUUUAUUUUGACAUUAUGACUGACUUAAUGUUCUUUCAUUUCAGUCUAAUUUUUCAUAUCGGUGGUCCAUGUCCUGUGCCACACUCUCUCUCUGCUCUCUCUCUGCUCUUGUUUUCACAGAAAGCAUUGAGUUUCUCCAUCUUCGGAGUCCAAUUUGCUCUCUAUAUCAACCAUCUGGUGAUGUCCAUCUAUACCGUCCUCUAUUUAAUUGCCUGAAGAAUAUGUUUGCAAUUAUCAAACUGGCGACUUUGAAAAAAUUCAGCACAGCACUCUCCUGAUUCAUUUCUUUGCUUUUCUCCUGUAGAGUGUUUCAACCUGUGGAGUAUGUCUUCCAUCAUGAUUUCUUAAUUCAUACUAGGUUUCUUUCAUCAUAGGUAUUUUCAAGAGAAAAGACAUUCAGAAGGCUAGUUUAAGUAUGCAGCAUUUUACCAGAUGCAAAAGUACUGAGGAUUCUUGAGAAAUGCAGUGUUCUCUCCCGAAGGGCAGUUCUACAAUGACAAGAAAAGUAGGCAUCUCGAUCCAGCAAAGCUGCCUUUUCCUCCUCCCAGUGUCAUCGCAAGUCAUCCAAUCCUAAACUCCUCUUUAAGACUACAAGCAAAUCGACACGGUCAUGAAAACCACGGACUCACCCUGAAUUGACCCUCCGACCAUCCGCACAACAUUCUGGAACUUCUGGAACACAGUUUCGACACCAGAAGCUAGGAAAGGCACCAGAAUAUUCUUUCCCUCCUUUUCUACCAGCUCAAGAAUGAUUCAAAGGGAUUUGACUUUGUCCUCCUCUGAGGCUGAGAGAGUGUGACUUGCCUAAAGUAACCCAGUGGGUUCAGAGACACAGUCUGAGGGUCAAACACCAUGCUUUCAAUUUUUUCUCUUUUUCUUACUUGCUUUUCUUCCAUGCAAGAUGGGGAAAAUCAUCUUGGUGGACUGAAUCUGGCUCCCAGGCAUAGCGACUAAAAAUAUGGCCUAAAUGACUUUAAAGCUCAGAACAAACACAUUUCCAAAUGUGCAUAGGAUGAUCCUCUAGAUGAAAAAGUAGAAAACAAAUCUCUGCUUACUCCUAGUAUCACACAUCAAACCAGGGUGAACAAAGUGUGGUCUGCAAGCAACAUGAAGCCCAGUUUUGCCCUCCUUCAGGGUCUCCACUUUUUUUUAAAAGAAGUCAAUUAGGCAUUAAACUCAUAACUAACUUAAAAACAAUAACCAGAUAGUUUAAUAUCUUAAGAUCAAUGAAUGCAUAUGCAGAUUUUUUUUCAGAAUUUGAUACCAUGGUGAAACAAUGUUUUCUUUCUGCAUUUUAUCUGUCCCAAGAUAUUUUAAUAUUUAUUAAUUUUUAAUAUUAGCUUUGUUGAGCCAAGACUUGUCAGAAAACAAAGAGCAUGAAGAAACUGGAGAUGUAAACUAGAGCCUGUUGAGAGCCCCUCCCUCUAUCAUCAACUGACAUUCAGCUGGACGAGUGAGAGGGAGACUUCCGUUGGUUCCUCUGCAGCCACAGUUGAGAGCCCCUCCCUCUUAUCAACUGACAUUCUGGUGGCCAGUAAGUCAACGGCUGUGAGGGUGCAUGAAGGCAGCAACAGAGGUCAACUUUCAUCGUGGUGUCCAUGCCUUUGGAUCAGAGCCUCUUUCUGUGAAGAUUAUGUGUUGGUCGAUGUGCAUCAAUCCCCAGACAGAAAACAUUCUCGCAUAGGAGAUUUCCAAGCAAACCAAAACCAACGAAAGUCCCAUGGUGAUCAGUGAGUUGCGACUGGGGCAGGACUGCCAACUCUGGGAGCCGCUAGAUAUACACCGGCCCAUAAAUGGAAAAUAUGGUGGUUGUAACCCACCACUGUAGCUUUGGAAGACAAUUAUACUUGGACCCGAGUUAUAGCCUAUGAUGACAACUCAGAAAAGAGAGAAUCAAGAGGAAGAAGAACACAAUGAGCUAUAUUUGAUCAAUAUUCCAAUUUUUCAAAAUCUGUGUAGGAAUUUUGUCUCCUAUAAUGACCCCACAUUAAUAAUUGCUGUUUGAGAAAGUUCCUCUAUUUUUGCUUUCAACUCAAAGCCUCUUGCAGUCCCUCCAAAAUUUCAUAGCUACAAACUGGGACAUGUGUGACCAAGCAACAUAUGACUGCAACUAAGAAGGCAAAAGAUACUAAGGAGGAUGAGGACAUAAAAGCUAGGAAGAUAGCUGUUUGCAGCAGCUGAAGUCAAAUGUUAAAGAAGCGAGAGGAGAAAAGAGAAAUUAGGCAAUUUUAAAAGCAGCUUAAAAAUAGGAUGACAGAAAAUUAAUUGGUACCAUCCUCACAAAAUCCAGACAGUUGAUGCAUAUGAUUUUUGAGCACCAGGAAUGAACAAUCUGUAAAUGGCUAACAUUUCAGUUGGCUAUCCACAGCCAUAGGUUUUGCAUCUCUGGAUUCAAUGACGGACUACUUGAAAAUAUGAGUGGUAUAUUGAUUUUGUCAUUUUAUAUAACAUUUUCAGCACUUCUUAUGAAUGUUGUAAGACUCUAAAAUGUCAAAGGCUUCUGAAAACAGUCACAAUUUACCCAAUUUUCUGAUUAUUUCAAGAAAAAACACAAAGUGAGGCCAGGAUCUCAUGUUUCUAAAUUCUAGAGUGUUAAAUCACUUAUUCAGGAAGGAAGCUUUGAGAUGAAUCUUGGAAACAACAAUUAAUAAUUUGGUUUGUCAGGUUAUUUUUUCUGGUUAGAGAAGAGGGGGGGGGGGUAUUGCUUAAUGGAAAUCCAUUGUGAUUUACAUUUUGAAAAAUCGUGUCAGGAGCAACUUGAGAAACUGCAAGUCGCUUCUAGUGUGAGAGAAUUGGCCAUCUGCAAGGAUGUUACCCAGGGACACCCGGAUGUUUGAUGUUUUACCAUCCUGUGGGAGGCUUCUCUCAUGUCCCCAAUUGAGAAGCUGGAGCUAACAGAUGAGAGCUCACUCCACUCCUCGGAUUCGAACUGCCAACGCCAGCAACUUCAAGCUAACAAUUUGAGGAUGAAUGCAGUCAAUAUCCAAGAGGGAAUUAUUUGGUGUUCCAAGACUGGAAUCAGAGCUCCUUGCUCCACCUGUUGCUCAGCAAUGGUUCCUACAAGCGAGUCAAAUGCAACCAGGUACAAAGUGCGUUCUAGAGUCUUUGCCUAAGUUGCCUAAAUUUUCUGUCCUCGAAGUCCUUCUGUAGUCUUUGCAUUUCCUCCUCUGGCCAACUGAAACAGUUUCAGUUGGAGUGAAUGGGUUCCUGACAGUGAACUUUCUGGCAGGAGAGUUCCCCCAUUCUUCUAUUUUUGUUGGAAUUCUGAUCUAAAAAGGGAGUUUCAUUCUCCAUCCAUGUUUGUUGCUUGAAUGAAGGAAGAAGCCCCAGUUUCCCCCCAAAAUAUGUUCCAAAAGGUUCAAGACCCUGAAGUUCAACUGAAACCCCCUUGGGGGGAAAAGGUUGAAGCGCCUUUACAUUCCUCUAUGAAUACAGGAUGGACUAUGGACUCAUUCUGUGUAUAAUUCAUGUGUCUGCUAAUCUUUCCAUUUAUCUGCUUGUGAUCGAGGUGACCACCCCCCCCCCCCAGGACUUUGUAAAAGAUAGUUCAAAAAUCAAGACUUUAUGUUCUAUAUUCCAUAUAUUUAUAGUAGAAGGUGAUUGAGACUUUUUACUGGAGUUUACUGUGGUUUACUAAAACUCUCUGCACAAAAGGUGUUUGACCUUUUAGCCUGAGGCAAGAGAUAACAACUUCAUGAAUUGUAAAAUCAUGCUGCUAAAACUCCACUUUUAUGAAUUUCCAUGCUGGGUUCUCCAGAUGUUAUGAACUUCGUUCUUAUCAAAUAUUUUCAAUUGUUUAUAUCAUUCAUGAUUCCCCUUUAUGCAAUGUAACUCACUUUUAUGAAUUUUCCCUUAUUUCCAUGAAAUCUAUCUAUCUGCCUAUAUGUAUCUGUACUCUUUGGGAUCCCCGGAAAAUAUGUAUUUUUCCCAGCCUGGGUUAUAUUACAACUUUAUUUUAUUUUUCAUUUUAUUUCAUAUAAUUGUCAAAUCAUGAAAUCAAAUUGGAAAUAUUUUGAACUCAACAUGAACCCCAGAACCUAUCCCAUUUCCUAUGACCCAGGCUUCCUUUCCCAAAAACAAAAAGAUAAUCUGCCACCGCUAAAUCCAAUCAAAUUCAAAUUGCAUGGACAAUAUAGGGCUUGAGUCGCCGAAUUCGGAGUCGCUGACCUAAAGGUGAUUCGCCCCAAGGCAAACAUUGUCAUAGAUCACCCAAAGAAAUAUCCAGGACACCUCAGGAAGGCGCCCUGCAGAGCCUGUCAAUAUGGCUCAUCACCACCCAUCUUUGCUUCCAUCUCUGACACCCCAAGGCAUAUCUAAAAUCUGUAUACGUGACAGAAACCCGGACAUCCUUGAUUGCUGCCAUUAAUAAAAUAGCACCCUUUAGAAAUCAGUCUAGCAGGACUUAAUCCUCUGGUUCCUGUCCCUGUCACCUCAUUGUUUCGCUAACUCCCGCCUUCUCCCUCCUGAUUGGCCCGAGUGGAGACAUAAGGCAGCUUCCUAUUGGGCCAACGGAGCGAGGCGGGAAACAAAAGCCCGCCUCGUUCAAACUUCUAGCCUAUCAACGAUCAGAUGGGCGGGGAAGCAGGGCGGGAAAUUCAAAGGGCUGUCAGACUGAAAUUUUGUAUAAGUAUGGCUUUAUUUUGAUUGUAAGGGACUGCUGGUAAGUCGAAUGAUCGCUACCAGAGUCCUCUUCAGCUGAAUUGCUCAAUAAAGACUCCUUAGUGGAUUUUCCUUCAACUUUGGCGGACCUUCUUCAUUUCGGCUUCAGGUUGUAUUGCGGCUCGUAUUUUCCUUUUGGCUCCGCCAAGGUCCGUUCUCUCAGGACCGGAUCGGGUCUCUCCUCAAGGGCCCCGAUCCCCUAAAACGCGGUCGACAACAUGCUCACCAGUUCACCUUGCCAACCCAUUUCUUAUCACAAACUGUGUGAGCAGGAAAUUUCUUCUGAAACGCAUAGCAGAAUAUCUAUGGUUCCCCAUAGGAUUUUCUGGCCCUGUACAACAGUGUACAAAUUGUGCUGUGAUUUGUAACCCCGAGGGCUGGAGAUUUUGUGUGCUGUGACUUUUGUAUGUUGUCUAAGCAGUUGAUCUUCCAUUCACUUUUCUUACAUUGUGAACUGGUGCAGAAUACUAAAGACCAUUUCAUUCUACAGGAGCACAGUUUCGACACCAAGAUCUGUGGUAAAGGCUUCAAGAGACCCUCUUUCUUGUAUAUCCAUUUUCUCAUCCAUUUAGAUACCCGCUCUUAUCCAUAUCAAUUCUCUAGUGAAACAUUCCACCAGAAAUCUGGUAUGAAGAAGCAGCCAUUCAGACAUCCAGGUGAGAAGCCCCAGAAGCCACAGGGAUGUGGCAGAGCUUCCAGCCAGAGUUGCAGCCUCAUCACUCCCAGUCGGAAACAUGCCAGCUUCCAGAGAAAGGUGGAUCUGAAGAAGCAUUGGCAGACACAGCACGACCUGAAGUGAAAGCCAUGUGGAAUGAGGGAAAUCAACAGAAACAUUACGUCAAUGCAUGGUCCCAUCUUUCUAAUGCAGUGGUUGUCAACUUGUGGGUCCCCAGGUGUUUUGGCCUACAUCUCCCAGAAAUCCCAGCCAGUUUACCAGCAGUUAGGAUUUUUGGGAGUUGAAGGCCAAAACAUCUGGGGACCCACAGAUUAAGAACCAUUGUUCUAAUGGAUUGCCCUUUCCACAUGCACACCAGCUUGUAAUCCCAGACACUCUGUAUGGGUAAACUACCUGGUGCCUGUAAAUGAGAAAGUCCUCUAUCUAGGCAUACUUUGGAAACAGGGAAAGGAUUCCCUCAAUCUAACUCUAUCAUAUAUCUGACUACAUUUAGACUUGAGUAGUCCAGGAUGAAUCCCAACACUCUCUCCCUGUGUUCCCCAAUUAGCCUUCUGUUACUGAAAAAGGUUUUCUUAGGAAGCCUGAACUCCAUGAGUUUACAUGGUUAACACACUGCUCAGUGCAACAAGAAGAGACUGAUUGUGUUUUCAUUUCGACAACUUAGGACCUCAUCCCACUGAACAGAUCAAGUAUUUGGAAGAGUGGCUAAUAUUGGAAGAAAAUGAAUUAUUUUCCAUCUAGGAACUUUUAGGAAUUUUCCCCUGCAGUUUAAUAUAGCAGGUAGGGAUGUAGGUCUACUUCUCAUUUUGGAUCUCCAUCUUAUCUGUACCAUGCAGAGAUCAGAACUAACUCUGAAGCACACAUGUGGUUGAGAAAGUCCCAGGGCUGUUUUGUUGGCAAUGAUGUCUCUCACCCUUAGGAUUUGAUAAUAGUUAUGAUAUGGGAUGUGGCAAAGGUGUGGCUGUUUAAUCCUCCUCCAACUCGUCCUUCCUCUCCCCUCCCCUCUCUACCCCCCUCCCCCUCCCUCUCCCUCUCCCCAACCUCUCCCCCCCUUUCCCUCCCGUCUCCUCCCUAUCCCCUUCCUUUCCCUCUCCUCCCUGUCUCCUUCUUCCCCUUCCGCUCCACUAUACACACCACACUUACCUCUCACACUUCACAUACCUUACAUACACACUUUAUACCAGUGGUUCUCAACCUGAAGAUCCCCAGGUGUUCUGGCCUUCAACUCCCAGAAAUCCUAACAGCUGGUAAACUGGCUGAGAUUUCUGGCCAAAACACCUGGGGACCCACAGAUUGAGAACCACUACACCACGUAUACACCCCCCAUGCAAACCACACAUCAUACACAUCUCUCCUGUCUUCUCUUUCCCUCUUUCUCCCUUUUGCUUUUCUCCCAUCUUUCUGUCUUUCUGCCUUUCUCCUAUCUUCCAUCUCUUUCUCUUCCCUUCUCUCUUAUCCCUUUUCUUUUUAUUUUCCCCUUCUCUUUCUCCUAAUCCUUUCUCCUUCUUUGCUUUCUAUUUCUCAUUAUGUUUCUCUGUCCCUUUGCCUUCUCUUCUCUUUCUUUUCAAUUUCCUUUCUCUUCUUCUCUUUUCUCCUCUUCUUUCCCGUUCUCCUUCCUCUGCCCCUCCCCUCCCCCUCCCCCUUCUUUUCCUCCUCUCCCCUCCCCUCCCCUCCCCUUCAUUCCCCUCCUUCUCCCUUUCCCAUUUCCUGGAUUUCAGCCUGCCACUCUUCAGUUGUGCACCUGUAGAGUUCUAGUUACUUACUCUUCUUAAAAGAAGAUCAAGAAGCUCAGUAGAAAUGUGUUAAUAUAGGAAGUCACAACUUUAACUUUUCAAUGAAUCGAAAGGAUUCUUAAAUUUACAAGCAGCUGAUAAAGAAGAGUAAAAAAAGAAAGCAAGUCAGUUUCUUAAAAUUCAAAAAUGAUGUUCACUUAAGUAAAAAAAAAAGGAGUAAUGAAUACACCUACCUUCUGAAAUACCUUCAGCUUUUCAUGGUUAUGGAACAAGUAGGUGAAAACCAAUGUGCUGGUUUCAAUAUCUGGUGGAUUUGCCCUGAAAUGGCCCCAUACCAGGAAGGAUCCAGGAAUUUGUGUGUUAUUGUAUGAAUUUGCCUUAACUUAUUAUUGUCAUAACUCAUUGGGGGGGGGGGGGGAGAGAAUAAGACACUGACUGUUCAUUUGCAUCACUUAAGAGAGCUAAAGUUGGAUGAAAAUGAACUAUUUUCCAUCUUGGAACUGUUGUCCUGAGUUAACAGAGCAGGUGGGGAUUUCGGUCUGUUUCCCAUUUUGGAUCUCCCCCUUAUCUUUACCAGAAGAUAAGAAUUAGCUCUGAAGCACGCAUAUGGCCAAGAAAGUCCUAGGCCUGUUUUGCUGCCAAAAGUGUAUUUCAUUUUUGGCAUUUGAUCAUGGUUAUGUUAUAGGAUGUGCAUCCUAUUGGGAGGAAGGUCUGGCUGUUGAAUCCUAUUCCUCCCCACCCUCUCCUCUUCCCUGCCUUCCCCUCUCCUCCCUCCUCUCUUUCCCUCCCCCCUCCCCUCCCCUCUCAUCCCCUCCCUCCCCCUCUCUCCCUCCCCUUCCCACAACUCACACCACUCACACAACAUAUACAUAUCACACACAGAACAUAUAUCACACACAUCACAUGACUCACUCCUCUCACACCACACACACCUGAAAGAAACUAUGCACAUCACACACAUCUCACACCAGAAACCUCUCAUACAGGACAUACACUGCACGCAUCACACACACCUUACACCUCACACACCAUACACACAUUACAUAUACAGAACACAUUCCACACAUCUCAUAUCUCUCAUCUCAUCUUUUCUUUCUCUUUUCGGGGGUGCUUUGAAUGCGAUUUCCUGCUUCUUGGCAGGGGGUUGGACUGGAUGGCCCAUGAGGUCUCUUCCAACUCUACUAUUCUAUGAUUCUAUGAUUCUAUUUUCUGUCAUCUUUCUGUCUUUCUCAUUUUCUCUUUUCUCCCAUUUUGCAUCUUUUUCUGUUUCUGAUUUCUCUGUUCUCUAUCUCACCUCUUUCUUCCCUUCCUCUUCUCUUUUCUGUUUCUUCUAGCUGUCUCUUUUGUUCUUCUCCUUUGCUUUCUCUUUCUGUUUUUCUUUUUUGUUUUGCCUUUCUCCUUCUCUUCUCCUUUUCUUUCUUUUUCACCACCCUCUCCCUCCGCCUCCUCUCCCUUCCUUUUCCCCUUUCCAAUCCACUUCCCCUCCCUCCCCUCCCCCUUUCCCUCCUCCUCUCUUCCCUUCCCCUUCCCUUAACCAUACCAUCAUCAUGCCAAAAGUGAUGUGGUGUCCCCUUAAGUGAAAAAGUGCAACUUAUGCAUAGACCUUCCUUCCGAAACACAUCCAGCUUUCUAUAAUUAUGGGACAAGCAUGUGAGAGGUAGCCAAUGUGCUUUGACAGACUGGUUUCAAUAUCUGGGGGAUUUGCUCUGAAAUGGCCCUGUGCCAGGAAGGAUCCAGGAAUUUCUGUGUUAUUUUAUGGAUUUGCAGAAUAACAGACUGACCAUGUGUUCAUUUGCACCACUUAAGAGCUAAAGCUGGAUGCAAAUGAAUUAUUUUCCAUCCUGGAACUGUUGUCUCGUGUUAAUGGAACAGGUGGGGAUUUAGGUCUGUUUCUUAUUUUGGAUCUCCCCCUUAUCUUUACAAUGCAGCAAUGGUCAGAACUAACUCUGAAGCACAUCUAUGGCCAAGAAAUCCUAGGCCUGUAUUGUUGUCAAUAGUGUCUUUCAUUUUGGGCAUUUCGUCACAAUUAUUUUAUUGAAUAUGUAUUUAGUAAUGGGGAAGAUUUGGCGGUUAAAUCCUGCUCUCCUCCCCUCCCCAUGCUCUCCACUUCCCUUCUUCUCUCCCAUCCUCUCCUUUCUUUCCUCCCCUUCUUUUUCCCUUCCCUUCCCUUCCCCUCCUCUCCCUUUUCCUUCUCACAUCUCACACACCACACACCACACACCUCAUAAAUAUCUCACACAGCACAUAAACCACACACAUUUUACACCACACACAACCGAAAGACACAGUGCACAUCAGGCACACCUUUCACCACAAACCUCUCACAUGGCACACACACUGCAUGCAUCACACACACUAAACACCCACACACUACACACACCGAACACAUCUUACACAUCUCAUAUCUCCUCUUUCUUUUUUCUCCUAUCUCUCGUCUUUUUCGCUCUAUUUCUGCUUACUCUAUUAUCUCUCGUUCUCCUUUCUCUUUUUCUUCUCUCCGUCUCUUUUGUCCUUCUCCCUUUCUUUUUCUCUUUUAUCCUCCUUCUUUGCUUUCCCCUUUUCUUUCUCUUUCUCUUCUCCCUCUCUUCUUCUCCUCCCCUCCCCUUCCCCUUUCCCCUUUCCCUCAUUCUCCCUUCCUCUUCCCUUAACUAUACAAACAUUCUGCCAGAAGUUAUGUGGGGUCCCUUUAAGUCAAAAAGGGAGCAACUAAUGCAGAGACCUUCCCCCCAAAAUACUAUCUGAUUUCUAUGGUCAGUAGGCAAGAGGUAGCCAAUAUGCUUCUGAUAGACUGGUUUAAUAAUCUGGGGGAUUUGCUCUGAAAUAGCCCUGUGCCUGGAAGAGUGCAGGGGUUCAUAUGUCAUUGUAUAGAUUUGCCUUAACUAGUUUGCUGCAUACCUCAUGGUGAGAGGGAAUAAUAAGGAGUAUCAAUUCCUUGAUUUAGUUUUACCUUGUGUUCCUACGUGCAUUGAUGCAUCUUUAUUGGAAAUAUCUUUUACAUUAAUAAAGUACAGAAUAUGCUCACAAGGACUAUUUAUUUCACCAAAAACACAUUAUUCAAACUAGUAGUAUGGUACCAAAAUGGAUUUAUUUGGAAACCAGAGCCAAAAAAAUCUAUGGCUUCAUUUCCCUAGGAAUAUGGAGGUUACAGCAGAUAGUAUUUUCUGCUGUGGAAAGGACACCCCUUUUUACACCAGUGUACCAGUAUCCCAUGUAACACAGAGCUCUUUGUCAUGAAAAUGGAGCCAAUUCACAUCCUCUAGAAAUAUUAGAAAGUGACUUACUGAUACAACACAACUGUAGUUCCAGUAGACAACCACUGAGUAUCUAAUAUAAAAACUACAAAUUAAUGUCUAAUUAAGUAUUUUGCUUAACCUGAAAGUUACUUUUCUAGCAAAUGAAUCAACCAGUACUAAUAGACAUUUUUUUUUUACUGAAGUUGUCUUCCAAUAUUUUGGGUUAUAUUGUUUCCCAUUUGUAAUCCACAGAGUUGAAAAACGUGGAAGAGAGGAGGUAUUCUGCUCUAUUAAAGAAACUAAAAAUUA